AAUUGGUAUAAUAAUUUUAUUUUCUCUAAUUGCUUGCCCGACUCGCGCGAUUAUAAGGGAGGAUAUAUUCUAAACACGUGAUCGUACUUAUUAAUAUGAGCCGCGAUGCAGUGAAACACUUCGGAAUAAAGCCCGAUGAGAAGUCCUUCGAGAGCAUCGAGUCCAGUUAUGUCCUUGCUUUGCUCCGUAGGACUUGGAGUUCGCAAUGUCGGCCUUGGAGUAUUGGGUGUGCCACCACCUCCGUUCCAAGAGAACACUACUCUACUCAAUUCCUCGACCGUGGUUCCCAAUAAUGUGGCUGCUUUCUCCGCGCAUUCUACUCUCGCAAACUGCCAUCGACUUUGAGAACUAGUACCGACUUUGACGGCACCCGCGCAACUCAGGUGAUAUAUACCAGUGAGUACUAGCCAAAUCGCUUUUUCAUCGGUUUCCGAUAUACCAAGAGUCCUAAAGGCGGCCACGAUCCGAUUAAAUUCCACCAUGGCGCGCUGCUUGUCUUCGUGCUUCUGCAGAGGCGUGAUGAACGAAUUAUUUUCCGCGACUAAAUUCGUAAGAUGCAAUUCCCUUCUUAAGACACCCUCGGCGCCUGCCAGCAAGCGGUACAUCGCAUGAAAGGUUGGAUCCCCGUUUGCUCGUUUACCUAUCCUCGACUUCUCUAAUAGUAGCACCUUGUACGCACAGACAAAACCAAUUCAGAUCAACUAUAGGAUAUAAAUAGACUAAAAGGCAGUCGCAUUUGCAAUAAGUUAAAGCAAGCAUAAAUAUAAUCGAUAAUAAUGCGGACAAACGUAUCGUAUUACCUGUAAAGAGGCGGACGCAAUCUGCCCCGAUUGAUCGAAGUCUAAACUAAAUAGUUGAGUGAAUCGUGUUGCAUUCGAAUUCAUGUAUGUUUUGCAAUUCCCAAAUGCUUCUAGGACAGUGAAGACGGCAUUGAGUUUCUCAAUAGUCAGGAUCUUUAAAAAUACAAUAAUUGUUUGAACAUCGUUUGUAAUACAACAUUAGCGUAAACGCAGUUACCAAUGGAUUAUACGUAAAAAUGUUAAGUUCGUAGUUUUGCCCGAUCCGCUACGGCCGAGGAAAACUAAGGAAUGAUCUCUUCGAGUUGCUAACAUCCCUCUGUAAGCUGCUUGCGCCAUUGCAUAAACAUGAGGAGGCACAUCUUCGCUCUUACAUCCUCUGAACAUAAGCGCCACCUUAACAAAGGAAAAUCAUUGGAGAGCCAAUUUUUUUUUCACUCGUGGACACUAUGAAACUGUGAUUCCAAACAGCUUUCGGUUUCCAAGUAACCGAAUAGUGUCAUUUAUACUUUUAGAAGAAUUUUAGUAAUCCACUUUUGGCCAAUGAGACUUUUUACAUAAUGAUAUAAUAAUCAGAUUUAUAACAAAAUUAUUCCGUUUCAAAAGGUAUAUGAACAGUUUGUACACCGACUGUACGAGCAGAAAUUGUCAUAAGAGGAACGAUAACUUGCGUGAAAAAGAACAAAUAGCCAAAAAAUCCUAAUUGUAGGGAUAAUAUGAAAGAAAUGAUAAUGCAAAUAAAACGAAUAUUUGUGUGAUUUGUAAAAAAUAUAUUUCAAAAAAUAAAAUACGAAACCGAA